rnacentral:rRNA from 1 species
AGUGAACGCUGGCGGUAGGCCUAACACAUGCAAGUCGAACGGCAGCACAGUAAGAGCUUGCUCUUACGGGUGGCGAGUGGCGGACGGGUGAGGAAUACAUCGGAAUCUACUUUUUCGUGGGGGAUAACGUAGGGAAACUUACGCUAAUACCGCAUACGACCUACGGGUGAAAGCAGGGGAUCUUCGGACCUUGCGCGAUUGGAUGAGCCGAUGUCGGAUUAGCUAGUUGGCGGGGUAAAGGCCCACCAAGGCGACGAUCCGUAGCUGGUCUGAGAGGAUGAUCAGCCACACUGGAACUGAGACACGGUCCAGACUCCUACGGGAGGCAGCAGUGGGGAAUAUUGGACAAUGGGCGCAAGCCUGAUCCAGCCAUACCGCGUGGGUGAAGAAGGCCUUCGGGUUGUAAAGCCCUUUUGUUGGGAAAGAAAAGCAGCAGGUUAAUACCCCGCUGUUCUGACGGUACCCGAAGAAUAAGCACCGGCUAACUUCGUG